CCUCGCAGCCUAUGAAAUGUUAGAGACUGACAUACACAGGGACUGCAAUGACCCUGUGAACCGACCACGUCACAAGGAAGUGCUGAAGGGGGAUGAGGCAGCUUGGAGAAAGAGUCACCGCCCUGCUUCGUCCCUGAUCCAGACAUGAGCUUCAUUCUCCUGUGCUGUGUGACCUUUUUUUUCUGGGGAGCAGGGUCCAUGGACACCGAGGUCAUCCAGAGUCCAAGUCAUCUGGUCAAAGGAAAAGACCAGAAAGCAAAGAUGGAUUGUGUCCCCAUAAAAGGACAUAUUAAUGUUUACUGGUAUCGCAAGAAGCUGGAAGAACCAUUCGAGUUCUUGGUUUACUUACAGAAUCAAGACACUGUGGAAGAUACAGAAGUGUUCAAACAGCGAUUUUCGGCUGAGUGCCCACAAAACUCAGCCUGCAGCCUGGAAAUCAACUCCACCGAGGCAGCGGACUCAGCUCUGUAUUUCUGUGCCAGCAGCCAGUCCACAGUGCAGCAUGUCAGCUCUUCCUAGAACACAAACUCACCAUGAACCCAGCUCAGGAAAUCAGUGGUGUCGUAGGAGGGUAGGAACUAACAAAAACCGGCUUUGAGAGAGCAUAAACCAGAUGGAAAAAUCUGUAAAUGGCCACACAGGAUGAGCAGAAGGGGAGGUGGAAAA